rnacentral:tRNA from 1 species
GCGGAAGUGGCGGAAUUGGUAGACGCGCUAGACUAAGGAUCUAGUGGUGUAAAAGCCGUGAAGGUUCGAGUCCUUUCUUCCGCA